rnacentral:tRNA from 2 species
GCUCGGAUGGUGGAAUUGGUAGACACGUUGGACUUAAAAUCCAAUGGCCAUUGCGGCCGUGCGGGUUCAAGUCCCGCUCCGAGUACAA